ACCACGAGGGGGCGCCCCCGCCCCGCCCGGGCCGCCUCAGGAGCCGCCGCGGGAUGGGGCCAGGGCCGCGGAAAAUCGGGGCGAAUACCGAGUAAAAAGCGGAGGAUAAAAGGAAACUGAAGCACACUCAGCUCUUGCAUUUUAAAGGAUUUUCAUCACUGAAACUAAGUGGAGAUUCUUCCAACUUCCAGAUCUAUUUCAGCAGCUACAGAGUUUGCCUCUUGUGGCCUACAGGAGCUAUCCCCAGCGCCGGAGGGACCGACAACAGAGCGACCACUGAAUUUGUCGUCCUUUUCAGAUUGGUGAAAGAGUGUUGUCAUCCGAUGCUAAACCCAAGACUCAAGGCUUCCUCAAAGCUCAGGAGAAUGCCAUGUCCUUCUGGUGGCCAAAGCAUGCAGUGCUGUCCAGACUGUACAUUCUGACCCCCAUCCUUUUUGUUCCUUAUCCACCAUCUCCUACGUGGGGGACAGCGGAUCAUUUUUGGGAGAAGCUAAUAAUUCCCUUUAUGCUUAAGCCAAAGGUGCAACAGAAGGGGAAACACUGGAGGCCUUUCCCCAGGCUGUAAGAGAGUGGUUCCUUGAUGCUGGACUCAUUGUCUCGCCAAAGGUCAAAUACUGCAGUCACUGGAGUGCCAGGAAAGGAAAGGAAGACUCUGCUCAUGUUUCUCUGUAAAUUAUAGAGCCACACUUCCCUUACCUCUGAAUUUUGUUGUCGUGAUAGGUUUAUUUGACUGAAUUUUGUGCUUCUCUGAUUUAAUUGUUAUGUUAUUAGGGUGAGUAAAAUAAAGCUGCAGCUUUUCUUUUGCUGUAUUAGUGCAGUUUAAUUACAUUUGGGAAAGGCAAAAAGGAGAGUGGGAGCUUGCCAACAUUAAUGCUGUCUGUCAUUCACAGCCCAUUGAUGACAAGGAGUUGAAAGCUUGGCAGUUACUCUGGUAAUCAGCAACCUGGCUGAUGACGAAUGGAAAAGAUUAUGUGAAAUUUCCUGAAAGGGGGGAAAAAAAGAGUUCUCCAAAGAAAUAAAAUAGAAAAUGAGAACAAAGGAGAAAAAAACCCAAACCCUAACUUCUAAAUCCAACACGAAAUCCUUUUUAUAAUGUUUACAUGAAAGACCCUACAUGAAGCAGAUGUAAUAAAUGAAAAUUUUCCAAUAGUAAACUGCGCUUAAUGCCUAUAAAAGGAAUAUGUUCCUAAAACAGGAGCACAAAUAUGUCCACUUGAUUGUUGAAAUGGACUUUUUCCCCUCAGCUGAAGAAUACAUAUCACUGAUAAAAACCAACCAGACAAACAAAAAACCUUUUAUUGCUAUAGUUGGCCUCCCAGUAAUAUUUUUUCAUUUACAGCACUGAAAAUCAGCUCAUCUUUUAGAGCUGUUCCAAAUAUAUAUUUCUACAGCUUUCAAAAUGCAAAUAAUUUGUUUUCUUUUUUAUUCUCUCUACUUAAUUUUCUAUUUUUAAUACAGGAGGAUGCAGAUAUUUCAUCUUACUAUUAGGAACAUAAGCAACUGCUAUUCAGGUUUUAGAGUCAUUUGCAGUAUCUCAGCCUCUGACACAGCAGUAAAGUUCAAGAAAAACUCAUGUUAAAUGAGACUUGGAAUUACAUCAGUGUUUAAGGAGAAAUUCUACAGAAGAAAUUCUACAUUCCACAUGGUUUUGUUGUGACCUGUAACAUGCAUUAUUUGUGACAUUUCUCAUUUGUCUUAAUUAAAAGCUGAAUAUUAUUCCAAAGCCCUUUUUUUUUAUUGGCAUCUUUGGGAAGAAACAAUGAUGGCUUGUUUGAGGUUUUGUUCCAUCAUUUUUCAGUAGCUGCUGGAUAUACCUACUCAGUUUCACAAGUUAUAGAAUUGUAUUUUGGUAUUCAAGACUUCAGCUUUUCAUUUUGCUCACAAUGGGCAAAUGAAAAGGUCCUCUGGUAUCUAUAGUAUUAUUAGAUUGUAUUUUUAAGAACAAGAAAAACCCAUACAAUUGGACAAUAUGCAAUUGUUUGCUGGGCAUUCAAGCAAUUGUGAGACUUUUGUUCCUUCUGCUUUGCCAAACGUGGCACAGGACAAGAAAGAAACAAAUUGCUUUUAAUCUCAACAUUAAGCGACUCAGGCAAUUUAAGAUUUACCAGUAGGCAAUGUUGACUGUGCAGGGCUGUGAAUAAGGAACUUCUGUCUCACACUGUUGAACAGAUACAUCACUAUGUGGCUCCAGGCUUUCUCCCCACAGGCAGAGUACCGCAGCUCCGUAUUUUAUGAGUUGCAGGGAACACCUAACCCCAGCUGAAAGGAAUUGCUAAGGUUUACUGGAAUACAACAGGAGGAUGAUUUGAUUGGUAAGUUUAGUGUUAAGAACUAGCUGUUUAUUUAUUAGCUUAAAAAAUCACACAGGUUAGAAACCUCCUGCCCACUAAAGAAAUGACAAUGCAAUAUUAGUCAUUCAUCAGACCCACUUCCAAAUUUCUGAGGAAAAGAUGUAAAAUUCAGCAAAAAAUCACUUUCAACUUUUAUUCUAUAGCAGUGUGAAGCUCUACUGCCUGAGGAACAGAUUUCUCCAUCCUGGACAACACAUCAUUCUCUCCAUGUGAUAACCAUGCCCGGGCACAAUCUGAUGUUCCUCCGUAUUUGUCCGGGUUUCAUGGACAUACAGCCAUGCCUCAGAGCUCAGGUGCACCACAUACCCUCCUGUCCUGGCAAACACCACCCAGACUGUGUGGAUCAGCUGCUCCUUGCACAUAUGCAUUCCAUCUGAUGCCUCAGGAAGGCACCUGGGAGGUGCAGGCUGGAGUGCACAGGCACAGAUGAGCUCUGCAGGGCAUGUGCAGGGAGUCUGACAUGUCCCAGAAGUGAUGAGAACAGAGACCCUACGAUAGGAUGGAUAGCACAUUUCAGAGCUGUAGGCUGUCACUCAGCAGUGGUCUACUGCUCCUCUUCUGCUGUGAUGCUGUGCUGACAGAAGUCUGCACUGUUAUCUGGAAAAACUGCUCAAGAAACAUAAAAAAAAUUCCUAAAUGGGCUGGAUUUGUUAAUUUAAUGGGUGGUUUUGAAGCACAGGUUUAAUUUAAACUACAUAUAAAUAAUUACCAGCCACCAAAAAGCCAAAUCAGGUACAAAAAUUCAGCCGAAAUGAUGCACUGUUAUAUACAGGCUUAUGUUUAUUAUCUAUUUCUGUCUUCCUCAGUGAUCAUCUGAACUUCAUUUGCCCAACUGCCCUUCACUUUAGAUAAGAGGAUCAUUUCUUCCCCUAUCAGUUGAAAUUAAUUUUUGUCUGUUGCUACCUAAGUGCUCACAUAGAGCAUUUUCCAUCUUCAAAAACAAUAAUUCAAAAA